GACGAACGCUGGCGGCGUGCUUAACACAUGCAAGUGGAGCGACGAACCAGGGCUUGCCCUGGGGCAGAGCCGCGAACGGGUGAGUAACACGUGGGUAACGUGCCCCGAUGACUGGGACAACCCGGGGAAACCCGGGCUAAUACCGGAUAUGCCCCCUCACAUCAGUGAGGUGUGUAAAGGAAGCUUCGGCCUCCGCAUCGGGAUCGGCCCGCGGCCCAUUAGCUUGUUGGUGAGGUAACGGCUCACCAAGGCUUCUAUGGGUAGCUGGUCUGAGAGGACGAUCAGCCACACUGGGACUGAGACACGGCCCAGACUCCUACGGGAGGCAGCAGUGGGAAUCUUGCGCAAUGCGCGAAAGCGUGACGCAGCAACGCCGCGU
rnacentral:rRNA from 1 species